GGUUAAGACUCUAGGCUUCCUCUGCAGAGGAUGCUGGUUCCAUCCUUGGUAGGGAGGGAAGAUUCCCCCAUGCCCCACAGCAUGGCCAAAAAAAAAAAAAAAAAAUUCUUCCAGAUCCAGAAAGUUUCACUAGUGAGUUCUAACAAACAUUUCAGGAAGGAAUAACUAAAAUUUACAUAACUUCUUCUACAAUAAAAAGGUUUGGGAGACAACUUCCAACUCAUUUUAUGAGGCCAGCAGUACUGAAAAAUCCAGACAGCAAACCUUCCCGUGAAACUAUGGACCAACAUCCUUCUGUAUAUAAAUGCAAAUACUGUUUACAAAAUGAGCAAACUGUGCCCAGAAAUAUGUAAAAAUUUCAAAACAUGGCAUUUAUUCAGGAAAUGGAAGGCUGAUUAAAUAUUUGAAAUCAAUGUAAUGUAUCAAAUUAAUAGAUUAAAGAAGAAAACAAGGUCUUUCCACUAGAUGCAGAAAAAAAAAUUUGACAUAGUUCACUAUUCAUUCAUUCACUAAAAGAAAUCUUCCUUAACCUGAUGAAGUGGAUCGAUAAAAUACCUGUAGCUCACAUGUAUUUAUUGGUGAAAGACUGAAUGCUCUUUUCCUAAAAUCAGGAACAGGACAGAAAUCUGUAUCAGUCAUCUUAGAUAUGAAAUAAAGGAAGACAAAGAAAUAAAAGGCUUAUAUCCUGUGUAGAUAUUAGAUAUAUGUAUAUAUAUAUAUAUAUAUAUAUAUAUAUGUCUAGUCACAAACAAUUGAGUAGAAAAUCCAAAGGAAUGAACAAAAUAAGCUGCUAGAACAGAUUCAUGAGGUUAUUAGCAAAUCAGUAUUUUAAAAUCAGUUGCAUGUCUACAGGCUAGCAACGAACAAUUGUUGAAGUUUAAAAAUAAGCCAUUUUCACUAACACAAAAUAACUCGAGAUCCUUAAGUAUCAAUCUAACAGUAUGUGCUUGAUCUGUAUGCCCAAACCACAAAACGUAAAUGAAACGCUGAAAGGGAGCUUUCGUAAACACAGUGGUUUGAUCUUUUCAGGAACAGGAAGACUGAAUAAGGUGAUAACACAAUUUUCCCCAAGUUAAUAAAGAGAUUUAAUACAGUUUGAGUCAAAAUCACACAGGUUUUUCAUAAGAAUUGGCAAACGAUUUCUAAAAUUUUAAUGGCAACUCAAAGGGACAGGACUUUUAGUCCAAACCACUUUAAAAAAGGAGAAAAAAGUUGGAGAGCUCACAUGUCCAGAUGUUAAGGCUUCCUAUGAAGCUGCUGUAGAUGGUGCGGUCUUAGCAAGAGGAUAGGCUCAUGAAUCAGGGGAGCUGAGAAGCGUCCAGAAAUGCACCUGCUAAAUAUUGUUAGUUGAUUUUCUACAAAGUUUCAGAAGUAAAUCCAUUGAGGAAGAAUAGUCUUCUCAACAAAUGCUGCUAGGGUCAUGCAUAUGCAAAAAUAUUGAACUUUGGCUCUUACUUUGCAAUGUAAACAAAAGUUAACUGAAAAUGCAUUGUAGACCUAAAUGUUAAAGCAUAUCAAAUUUCUGUAAAUAAACAGGGGAAAACCUUUGUGAUCUUGUGAAAGUUGCUCAGUCCUGUCUGACCCUUUGCAUGGGCUAUAAUCCUGCAAGGCUCCUCUGUCCAUAGAAUAUUCCAGGCUAAGAUACUGGAGUGGGUAGCCAUUCCCUUGGUCAAGGGAUCUUCCAGGCUCAGGGAUUCAACCCAGAUCUGGGUUGCAGGAGUUUUUUUGCAGGAAACUGCCAGGAAAUUGCAGGCAGUUUCUUUACCGUCUGAGCCACCAGGGAAGCCCUUGUGACCUCAAGUUUAGCAAAGAUUUCUUAGAUAUAAAACCAAAAAUACUUCACCUAAAUGAAGAAAUAGAAUUAACCAAAAUUAAGAACUGAGUUUGUAAAGACACUGUUAAGGAAAAGGCAAAUCAUAUUCUAUGUAUGUGUUUCUUAUCAAAGCAUAUAUUUAAUAAGCUGUGAGCAUUCAGUAUUCAGUGCUGAAAAAGCAGAAGCAAUAAAAAACCAGGCAAAAAGGUUCGAACAUACACUUCACCAAAUUAGAUAUAUGAAUAGCAAAUAAGCAUGUGAAAAGAUGCUCACCAUCUUUAAUCAUUAGAGAAAUUCGAAUUAAACCACAGUGAGAUCCACUACAUUUGAACAACAACAACAGAAAAGGCUGGCUGUGUAAGUUGUUGACAGAAAUACUGAGCAAACGAAACUCAUCCAUUGCUGCUGGGAACGCAAGUGGUGCAGCCAGCAGUGGAAAGAUACAUUAACAGUGUCUGUAGUUGUAAUCCCCCCAAAACUUGAAACACAUAAAGGAACCUUCUUACCAUCGUCAUACACUACCCAUUCUCAAUCUUCAUUUGACUAGGAAUUUUUUUUUAACAACAAACAUUACAAAUAGUGAUCAAUACAGAUUUUGAAUAUUACCUUUCAGAUCCUAAAGACUAAUGAUAAUAAGCAUGUUGGCACAUUUUUUCACCUCUGUGCACUUUCUCAUUCUUUUGAAGAUCGAGUCUGCGUUAAUUCCGGGACCACAGUUCUUCAGUUCAUGAUAUCCUCACAUGGUAAACUCCAGGAAAACUUAAAACACUUAUAAAAAGCAUGAUUGCAGUUUUUGCAUGCUCUUUCAGCAGAGCCAAAUUCAGGGUAUAAUUAUUUUCUUUGAAAAUUCAGUUGACUCAACAUAUUUUCAAAGGAGGAAAUUCCAAGGCUUUGAAAAGCACAUCUGUGUUACAGAGGAAACAUUUUCUAAGCAGGAAAAAUCUUUCUGACUCUGCAAAGCAUCACAAUUUCAAUCACAUGUUUUGGGGUUAUCUCUGUUGAAAGACUUUUCUCCUUCAGUCCAAAUGAUGUAAGAAGGGAGGCAAACAAGUCAUAGUCACGUCAGAGGCUCAGCCAAACAAACAUGGAAACUAGAUGUGACAUUAAAUGGCUUUCCUCGGGCAAAAUAAUGCUUUUUAAAGUAAGCCCUGCAUUUCUGGUGUGUUGAAGAUUUGUGCUGACGAUGACCAAGGCUUUUAGAACCAUGAAGUAAGCAGAUCCUCCACAGACAAACUGACUAUUGAUUAAAAAGAAAACAAACUGCCAGCAACUCUAGUUCUAUUUUUCCCUGUGAGAACACUGUCAGCCCACUGUGGAACUGAAUUCCAUAGGAUAAAGAAGUUUAAGUUGAUUUUAUGUGCCAUAAAGUUUAUGGAAAGAUUCUUCACAGGUUAGGUGUUUUCCAGUUGGUCAUGUUCAAGCCUGUUGUUUCCAGUUCUCCCCUGGCUUAAGGCCCUCUGUAAGCAAAGGGUUCUAUAGCUGUCAACGGAAAACUGUCACCUGUUACAACAGUAAACAACGGAUGUUACAGCCAUCAAGCCACUGCACACUCCAGCGGGGCACCCUGAGGGGACUCAGGAGGAGAAAGCUCCAGACACCUGCCCCAGAUGGCUGAGGGGCACAUCAAAGGAAUGACUUCUGUGAGCCCAGACUCUUGCAUCUUCCUGUACACAGAAAAGUGCAAAAUUCCUUAUCUUGGGAUUUCCGGUUUUCUUUACUUAACAGUAAUCCCUUGAUGUUCUAACUACCUGAAAUUUGUUGCAAAAACUCUUAUGUAUCCUGGCUCCUCCCUUACCUCUUUGGGGCUGUUCCUUAGGGUAGUUGUCCCCAGCCUUUUGGGUCCCAGUGACUGAUUGUGUGGAAGACAAUUUUUCCAUGGCCUGGGGGCUGGGGGGUGGUUUCAGGAUGAUUCAGGUGCAUUAUAUUUGUUAUGUGUGCGAGCGUGCUACAUCGAUUUAGUUGUGUCCAACUCUUUGCAACCCCAUGGACUGUAGCCCACCAGGCUCCUCUGUCCAUGGGAUUCUAAGGCAAGGCUCCUGGAGUGGGUUGUCAUGCCCUCCUCCAGGGGAUUUUCCCGACCCAGGGAUUGAACCCACAUCUCCUUCACUGUAGGCAAUUCUUUACCACUAGCGCCACCUGGAAAGCCCACAUGUAUCAUGCACUUAAUUUCUGUUAUCACAUCAGCUCCAUCUCAGAUCAUCAGGCAUUAGAUCCCAGAGGUUGAGGACCCCUGCCUUAGAGCUAUCUGAAAGGCUGCUUCUGGGGCUUAAGUCCUCAGCUUUGCUUGCUAAAUAAAACAGGUAUCUCAACUUUUAGGCCGUGUAUUUUUUUUUUUCAGUUGACAUAGACUUCCUGCAGUGUGCCCACUGUGCCCAGGCAGGGGGGUAGUGGGAGAAUGAAGGAAAAAAUAAAGCAGAUCACAGGGCCCAAUCAUGCAGCCAAUCCAAACUGCAUAACCCGACAGAUACUCACUGUUUUACAGGCACAUGAAACAAUAAGCCUGCAUUUCCUGAGUAGGUCCUACCUCAUCUGUGUUGUGAUUAAAUCAGACUGUCAUGGAUCUGAGAGUUCAGGGCAGUGAGGCUGGUGUUCAGUGGAAGCCUCUGAGUCUUUCAGCAGAACUCUGCCUUGGAUGUCGGUUAUGGCACCAGCUCCUUAUGAACUAAACUAAAUGUGGACUUCAUUUUAAAACAG